AAUAAACACAACGUGAAUAUUAUGAUUAAUAACUAAAUAUUAUUAUUGUGGCAGGCCUAACUGUUUAAUUUAUUAUUAAUUAACAAUAUUUCCAGAAUAUAUGCAAACACUGAAUAAGUUUAAUAAUUAAAAAUAAUAAUAAAGUUUAUUUUUUAUUAUUUAAUAGUAAAAAAACUGGUGUUAACUAGUAACGUUAAUUAGUUAAAAGAAUACUUUCAUAGGUAGUGAAAAUUAACCAGUACACUAAUUGUAAAGGGAUUGGCCCACUUACUAGAUGAUACAUGUGUAUAUUCAGUGUUUUUAUUAUUUAAAAAAUAUUUUUUUUUAAAAGGACAAAACGAUGAAAUGUGUGUAAAUACGAAAACAAACCGUACAAAAAUAUUAUUGCUCAACAAAUAAAAAAAUAAACAGCUUUAACGUCGACAAACACUGACUAGGGCAUCAACCUUAGCGUCAGCUUGGACUCGUUUAGCUAACGUUACCUCUUUCUCAUUAGCGUCAAAUUAGCGUCCAAACUGUAACUUAACUAGCUAACUAUGUUAAAUAUGACCCAAACAAUUAGACCAGGUAACGAAUUAAACCCACAAAACGCGGCUUGUGCAUCGUUAAAAGUUCGCCAACCUGUUGCUAGCCCUUCGUAAGAGACACAUUUCAUUUUUCAUCAACAACAUUUAAAGUUUUAAUCGUGAACAAGAUGAGAAAACGAUGUUAAAACGACCCCAGCGCGUUUACAAAGCUGCUCCGAUCAAAGUGCACAGCGAGGGGGGAACGAGCGAGCGAGCGAGAACUCCCGAGGCUAGCUAACUUCACUAGGUUCCACUUCCUCUUCUCUUCUACAAGGAUGGACUCCCCCAGGAGCUCAAUAGUGGAAUUCACGCAGGCAAUUUGGAAGCCGUUUUGAUUUAUUGCACUGAAUAUCAGGUUGUACUGACCCUGUAAG